rnacentral:rRNA from 2 species
UGCGGAGGGAUCAUUACACAAAUUAAAAUAUGAAGGCUUCGGCUGGAUUAUUUUUAUCACCCUUGUCUUUUGCGCACUUGUUGUUUCCUGGGCGGGUUCGCCCGCCACCAGGACCACACCAUAAACCUUUUUUAUGCAGUUGCAAUCAGCGUCAGUAUAACAAAUGUAAAUCAUUUACAACUUUCAACAACGGAUCUCUUGGUUCUGGCAUCGAUGAAGAACGCAGCGAAAUGCGAUACGUAGUGUGAAUUGCAGAAUUCAGUGAAUCAUCGAAUCUUUGAACGCACAUUGCGCCCUUUGGUAUUCCAAAGGGCAUGCCUGUUCGAGCGUCAUUUGUACCCUCAAGCUUUGCUUGGUGUUGGGCGUCUUUUGUCUUUGGCCUCGCCCAAAGACUCGCCUUAAAACGAUUGGCAGCCGGCCUACUGGUUUCGCAGCGCAGCACAUUUUUGCGCUUGCAAUCAGCAAAAAGGACGGCAAUCCAUCAAGACUACAUUUUUACGUUUGACCUCGGAUCAGGUAGGGAUACCCGCUGAACUUAAGCAUAU